rnacentral:misc_RNA from 1 species
AAGCCAUUCAAUGCACCAGCCAAGGGAAGAUGUUUGAAAGAUUUCCUCACUGGUUAGUUCUUUCCCUUCUUUCAACAAACUGUAGCUAUCAAUAGCAGAGAGCCCGUGAUUCAGCUUUCCUCCAAGUAGAUUGUGGUCCAACAUCUAUGAUGGGGAGCUGGUUAUCACCAAAGUGGAACUUUCUGGUGCUGAUUCAGAUAGUUUCUGCCUCUUAUAAAUCUUUGCCAAGGAUGACUUUAGAAUUGCUUGCAAUGCUUUGCUUGGCUGAGCUUCAAUAGAGUUGAUCAGUUUUGCAUAUGUCUUCUUCUCAUAAUCCAGGAGCACAUCCUACAAAUUCCCAAAAAGAACAGGCCAAAAAGAGUGGGGUAUCUAGCGUAUCACAUAUGAGUUCAACUGAAUACCAAUAUUUCCAACACGAAACAUGGAUGUUCUUCUUUU